UACGUAGGUGGCAAGCGUUGUCCGGAAUUAUUGGGCGUAAAGCGCGCGCAGGUGGGAUAUUAAGUCUGGUGUUAAAGUUCGGGGCUCAACCCCGUGAAGCAUUUGGAAACUGAUAUUCUUGAGUGCAGGAGAGGAAAGUGGAAUUCCUAGUGUAGCGGUGAAAUGCGUAGAUAUUAGGAGGAACACCAGUGGCGAAGGCGACUUUCUGGACUGUGUCUGACACUGAGGCGCGAAAGCCAGGGUAGUGAACGGGAUUAGAUACCCCGGUAAUCCUGGCCGUAAACGAUGGGUACUAGGUGUUGGGGGUAUCGACCCCUCCAGUGCCGGAGUUAACGCAAUAAGUACCCCGCCUGGGGAGUACGGCCGCAAGGUUGAA
rnacentral:rRNA from 1 species